GACAGAGCCAAAAAUGGGGCUCUGGCUAAACGUAUGAUGGGACCUAACUGGUGUGUUGGUUAACUGCGUUCAACUGCCUUCUUAUGACCCAUUCUGAGUAUUGUCCCUGAGAGAUGGCUCAGCAUUAGCUGUUGAAUCAGUUGGAAAUGGCCCAAUGCUGGUUCCAGAGCUUACCAAAAUUUCCUCAGAAACGACUUUCCUGGUGGCGGCAGGAGUCAUAUGAAAACAGAAGAUAUCAUUAGAAGAUUUCUUUUAAUUAAAAGAAAGAAACUGCUCUCUUUCACACUGCCAAAGGUCCACAAGUUGAGAAAAGGCUGCGUGCUGAAGGCAAUACAGAAGGGAGACCUUCGUCAGUCGUUGGCAAUGAAGGGCAGAAAAGUAGAGCUGCAGUCGAAAGGGAGCUUCUCUAUGAGAACAAGACUCUGCUGCCUCUAAGAUGGGAGAAGGAAAGACACAAGCCAUAGGAAGAGUAGGAUUACUUUGGCCCCAUCCAUAAAUAAAAUGUCAAAGGCCAGGAAUCCUUACCUGAGCUUGUGCAAUUAUUUGUGGAGAAGGAUGCACUUGGGUCG